rnacentral:lncRNA from 1 species
CAGUGCUGAAGUUACCAUCUCUACAAAAGUUAAAUCCUUUGAUCAAAUUCUCUACCUCUGCCUCUAAAACUUUUCUGAUUCAAUCUAUCACCUCCAAACUUUCUUUGUCUCGCCUGCUUAAGAUCACAAUCCUUUUGUGACCGAUACAACAUACUUUUCCCUUUUUCUUUAUAUCCAAAACAACCUGCUGUAUCUUUCUCAUGAAUCUUCCCAAGAAAUUCAGUUGGGGUCAAAGAGGGCCAGUCACAGACCAACAGUUUGACCAAAAGUGAACAAGGAGGAAGCAUAUUCCAUAUGAAGGUCGAGAUGACUUAACUCACACCCCCUCUUUGUGUACACCUAUUUGUGUACCACACAGAUAUAAUAUUAAUAGGCUUUUGAAGAUUUAUUGUGUUUGUAUAGCACGGUUGUCUAGGGGUGUAUACAUAAACAGUGAAAGCAGAGUCUUCAUAUAAGGUUUGCAAUACUGACAGUCUGGGUCAUAGGUGUAAUACAGACAUGCGGUUAGGAACUUUUCCAUUGUCAGAACACUAAUAUAUUGCAAAUAUUAAAAUCAUAUUGCAUAUUGCUGUUUCCUAUACCUGCAAGGAUAUGGUUGUAAUACUUCAAUUGAGUUCAAAUUGAGUAUCAAAAAUUCUAACCACAAAAACUAAAUUUUAUAUGCUUAUCAAAAAUGAGUUUAACCCCUUAGUAAUUUAAUAGGGUGACCUCUUCCCAUAGUAU